rnacentral:lncRNA from 1 species
GCUCUUCUCCCUGAUUGGUUUCCGCAUUUCUUCCCUCUCCCAUGGCGCCCCCCCCCCCCAUAAUGCUACUCCACCUGCUCAGGGAUCUGGUCUGUGUGGCUCAGAGCUGUAUCCCCAGAACCUAGACCAGUGCCUGGUCCAGAGUCAUGAUCUCGGGGUCCUGAGAUCAAGCCCCGUGUGCGGUUCCAGCAUGGGGCCUACUUAGAAUUCUCUCUCUCUCUCUCCCUCUGCCCCUUCCCCUUGUGUGCAUGCGUGCGCGCACGUGCGCGCACAUAUACACAGUCUCUCU